CACCCUGGGGAGGCUGUUGCACCCCAUGCACCCCACACACCCCAUGAAUGCCGACAGUGCGUGCCCAGAGUUGCAUCACAGCUUGAGAUUAAGUCAAAACGCAAGCCUGGACCCAGUUGACUUCACACAGUCUUCUCAGCCCUCCCACAGCCUUUGACAGCCUCCCACAGUGCAUCACAGCCUCCUACAGCAUUGGAUGCCAGAACACAGCACACCAAUCCUUCCCACAGUGGCCAGAAACAGCACACAGCAAAAUGGUUAACCAGAAUGAACAGACACACGAACUGACACACAUAGACACAGCGCCAAACGCCAUAGAGCCAACGCACAGCAUCCCACAGCAGCCAGGGGACAGCACAGCAUCACGGACUCCCCAGACACCCUCAGAACACCACAGCACACAGCACAGGAUGAAAUAUUAAGCUUAGCCUUUGCAUCACCCGUCAUAAACAGCACUGGGGGAGAUGACAGCACACAGUGGCACACAGCAGGGACCCAGGGACUAGUGAGGACUGAACAGCAAGCCACAGCAUCACCACACCCUGUGGAUGCUGUGAGGGAAGCAGGACGACCACACACAAGGCACAAGAUUGAGAAACGGACAGAAAGAGGAACCAUCAAUUCGAAGGAUCAUUUUAAAACAAGACUCAUAACUUCUGCUGCUACUUCUGCUGCUACUACUGCUACUAUUACUGCGGCUACUGCUAUAAGGGGUGCAUCUGUGUCCUCCAGCAAUAUUUACCAGUGUUUCGAGACUUAGACAAGACUUCACCAUUAAACAAGAUGAAAAUCUCGGAACAGGGAAGGAGAAAAAUAACUCGGAGAACGAGAAGGACAAGAGGAAGGCGCGACACUGACACACAAACGCACACACACAUAAAACGGAAGCCACUACAGGCUUUAGACCUCUCAUGUGACUCUGGCAACAGUGAUCCCAGUGUUACCAAACCCCUGUGUGACUCUAGGAGCGCGGACAGCUGGAAACAAGGGCUGGGGAGGCCGGGAGUGAGGUCAGGGGUCACAGGAGAGGGAAACAGUGCUCUUCCUCUUCCUCCCUCGCUGCAGUUCAGGUCACCACAGCCUUGCCGCAGCCAGCCACACCCACCACGGGCCUCCACACACCCUCACGCAGCAGUGCCAAGGCUGGACACAGCACUGCACAGCCCAGAACAGUCUAUGCCUAAUUCUCUAGUCAUUUAUAUUCAGAAUUUAACCCCCCUUGUGAGGACAGCGACUACCACCACCACCACCACCAGCACAGCCAAGUAGAUGCAGACACAGAAGAAGGAUAAGAUCACAUGACCUCUCCCACACCCUUGACCUGACCAUGUAACUGGCCAGGACCAUACUGAGGCGAUCUGAGAGUCUCCUAACUUCUCUGCCCCAACCCAGCGGCAGAAAUAGCCCAAGAAGUAGCCCAAAUGUAGCCUGCCAUAAGAGAUAGCCCAGUAGCUAAAAAAAAUAGCCCAAAGAUUAGGUUGCCCAAAAAAUAGCCCAAAGAAUGUGGUUUUUUAUGUUUUAUUUAUUUAGUUUAUUUAUUUUAAUUGUAAAGGAAGUUAAGAAUUUUUUUUUAAGUCAGUCAGUUCUCUAAGUCAAGAAAGGUGUGUGUCAGUCAGUCAGUCAGUCAGUCAGUCAGUCAGUCAGUCAGACAGACAGACAGACAGACAGACAGACAGACAGACAGACUUAUGCCAUUGAGAAAAUGACAUUAAGCUCUAGGCUAUUAAAAGUAGAUUUGAUGUUUGAGAGAGAGAGAGAGAGAGAGAGAGAGAGAGAGAGAGAGAGAGAGAGAGAGAGAGAGAGAGAGAGAGAGAGAGAUAAUAAUUGUAGUAUGUGUGUGUGAGAAACAUGACUGGCUGCCCAGAUCACCCUUUGAGGCAGCUGAUUGGUUGACAACUUGGUGCUUGUAUCUGAUUGGUCACCAUGACUUAGAUGUGACACAUGAUUGGUUGGAAUUACUACUGUUACUGUUAUUUUUAAGUUCUGACUAAGUGUAAUGGGAAAUGUUGUGUUUCUGAUAAGUUUUUUGGUCAUUUUCAAGUUUGGCUGAGUUCUGACUAAGUUCUGAAUUUAAAUGCAUUUUUGUGAAGAUUUUUAGUCUAGGAAAGUUUGGUUAAUUUUUUUUUUGAAGUUCUGAGUGAAAAUGUUGUGUUUCUGAUAAGUUUAAGGUUAUUUUCAAGUCUGGCCAAGUUCUGACUAAGUUCUGAAUUAAAAUAUUGUGUUUUUGUGAAGAUUUUUUGGUCUAGGAAAGUUUGGCUAAUUUUUUUUAAGUUCUGAGUCAAAAUGUUGUGUUUCUGAUAAGUUUUUUAUGUUAUUUUCAAGUUUGGCCAAGUUCUAAGUUCUGAAUUUAAAUAUUGUGUUUUUGUGAAGAUUUUUUAAGGAAAGUUUGGCUAUUUUUUUUUUAAGAUCUGAGUCAAAAGGUUGUGUUUCUGAUAAGUUUUUUAUGUCAUUUUCAAGUUUGGCCAAGUUCUGACUAAGUUCUGAAUUUAAAUAUUGUGUUUUUGUGAAGAUUUUUGGUCUAGGAAAGUUUGGCUAAUUUUUUUAAGUUCUGAGUCAAAAGGUUGUGUUUCUGAUAAGUUUUUUAUGUCAUUUUCAAGUUUGGCCAAGUUCUGACUAAGUUCUGAAUUUAAAUAUUGUGUUUUUGUGAAGAUUUUUUAUUAAGGAAAGUUUGGCUAUUUUUUUUUUAAGAUCUGAGUCAAAAGGUUGUGUUUCUGAUAAGUUUUUAAUGUUAUUUUCAAGUUUGGCCAAGUUCUGACUAAGUUCUGAAUUAAAAUAUUGUGUUUUUGUGAAGAUUUUUGGUCUAGGAAAGUUUGGCUAAUUUUUUUAAAGUUCUGAGUCAAAAGGUUGUGUUUCUGAUAAGUUUUUAAUGUUAUUUUCAAGUUUGGCCAAGUUCUGACUAAGUUCUGAAUUUAAAUAUUGUGUUUUUGUGAAGAUUUUUUUAUUAAGGAAAGUUUGGCUAAUUUUUUUUAAAGUUCUGAGUCAAAAUGUUGUGCUUUUGAUAAGUUUUUAAUGUUAUUUUCAAGUUUGGCCAAGUUCUGACUAAGUUCUGAAUUAAAAUAUUGUUUUUUUGUGAAGAUUUUUUUAUUAAGGAAAGUUUGGCUAAUUUUUUUUAAAGUUCUGAGUCAAAAUGUUGUGCUUCUGAUAAGUUUUUAAUGUUAUUUUCAAGUUUGGCCAAGUUCUGACUAAGUUCUGAAUUAAAAUAUUGUUUUUUUGUGAAGAUUUUUUAUUAAGGAAAGUUUGGCUAAUUUUUUUUAAAGUUCUGAGUCAAAAUGUUGUGCUUCUGAUAAGUUUUUAAUGUUAUUUUCAAGUUUGGCCAAGUUCUGACUAAGUUCUGAAUUAAAAUAUUGUUUUUUUUGUGAAGAUUUUUUUAUUAAGGAAAGUUUGGCUAAUUUUUUUUAAAGUUCUGAGUCAAAAUGUUGUGCUUCUGAUAAGUUUUUAAUGUUAUUUUCAAGUCUGGCCAAGUUCUGACUAAGUUCUGAAUUUAAAUAUUGUGUUUUUGUGAAGAUUUUUUAUUAAGGAAAGUUUGGCUAAUUUUUUUUAAGUUCUGAGUCAAAAGGUUGUGUUUCUGAUAAGUUUUUUAUGUUAUUUUCAAGUUUGGCCAAGUUCUGACUGUUAUAAUUGAAAGUAUUGUGUUUUUGACAAGAUUAUAAGUGUGAAAGUUUGUGUUAAGUUCAUUGCAGUGAAAGUUGAUGUGUAUACUUAAGUUAUUCACUUAUAGAAACUUAUAAGGGCAUAAAGGUUACAUUGAAAAAAUUAGAGGAAUAAAUGUUUACUUAUUUUGUAUUGUGAGAGAGAGAGAGAGAGAGAGAGAGAGAGAGAGAGAGAGAGAGAGAGAGAGAGAGAGAGAGAGAGAGAGAGUCAGGUGCCUUCUAAUGAUAAUGAUGAUGAUAAUAAUAAUAAUAAUAAUAAUAAUAAUAAUAAUAAUAAUAAUAAUAAUAAUAAUUAGUAUUCAUACCAAAAUAUCCAUCCAUAGAAAAUAUUCAUGUUUUUACUAUUAUUAUUAUUAUUAUUAUUAUUAUUAUUAUUAUUAUUAUUAUUAUUAUUAUUAUUAUUAUUACUAUUAUUAUUAUUGCUGCUGCUACUACUACUACUACUACUACUACUACUACUACUACUACUACUACUACUACUACUACUACUACUACUACUACUACUACUACUACUACUACUACCACCACCACCAAACACCACCAAUACACUCCCACCACUACCACCACUACUACUACUACUACUACUACUACUACUACUACUACUACUACUACUACUACUACUACUACUACUACCACCACCACCACCACCACCACCACCACCACCAAACACCACCAAUACACUCCCACCACUACUACUACUACUACUACUACUACUACUACUACUACUACUACUACUACUACUACUACUACCACCACCACCAAACACCACCAAUACACUCCCACCACUACCACCACUACUACUACUACUACUACUACUACUACUACUACUACUACUACUACUACUAUUUUUUCCAUGCAAUUAGGCAUAUUAGGAUCAUCAUCAUCAGUAGUAGCAGUAGUAGGCCUAGUCAUUACACACACAAUAAUUCAUAAUAAACUUGUAUAUUUAUUUUUCUGCAUAUUUCAAUUUCUUAUUUUAUUUAUUCCAAUGAUUUUAACUAAUACACUCCAUGUUUAGACCUAUGUGUGUGUGUGUGUGUGUGUAUGUGUUAGGUGACCCAGCAUGACCUCUCAUUGUGACCUCUGCUGUUUGAGUCAAGUCUGGUGAGAAAUUGAUGUACGCUAGCAUUGAAACCAUUGGAGAUUCAAAUAAGCUAGGCAGUGUUGUGUUGUGUUCGGGGUGUUCGGCUAAGAAUUAAAAUUGUGUUUCGGAUAAGCUGGCCAGUGUUGUGUUGUGUUCAGGGUGUUUGGCAAAGGAAAAACUGUAUUUGGGAUAAGGUGUGUGCAUUUUUUGGUAUUUGGUGUAGGGUAAACUGUUGUAUUUUGGUAAACCAGCAGAAUAUUGGAUAAAGUUGUGUUUGUGAUGAAAGAAAUUGUGUGUAGAAUAUUUAGGUGAAAGAUAAGCAGUGUUUUUUAAUUAGAUACAGAAGUGGUGUGUGUGUUUUUUUGGUGUUUGGUAAAAGAUGAACUGUUGUAAUUGAAAUGGUGUUGAGGAUUGUGAAAAUUUUGUUAAACUUAUUUCAUAGUAUCUAAUUCUUUUCUGUGGUCUUCUUCCUCCUCCUCUUCUUUCUUUCUUUCUUUCUUUCUUGUGUUCCUUCCUCUUUCCCUUUCUUUUCUUUCUGGUGUUCCUUCUUCUUCCUCUUCUUUCUCUUGUCCUUUUCUUUUCUUGUUCCUUCUCCUUUCUCUUCUUCCUCUCUUCCUCUUCCUUCUGUCUUUUUGUUGAGUUUUGUCUUCCUUCUUCCUCUUCCUCUUCUUCCUUUGUUGUCUUGUCUCUUCUUCCUGUCUUCCUCUUUUAAUUUACUGUUUUAUGUUCCUCCUCCUCCUCCUCUUCCUCUUUCAUUCUUCCCCUGUCAUCCUCUUCACUUCUUCAUUCUUCCCCUGUCAUCCUCUUCACUUCUGUCUUCCUUUAAUUCAUAUGUACCUCUUCCUCCUCAUCAUCCUCCUCUUUCUCUCUUCCCUGUCUUUUCCUCCUCAUCUCCUCAUCAUCAUCCUCUCUCUCUCUUCCCUGUGUGUUUUCCUCCUCAUCAUCCUCUUCCUCUCUUCCCUUUGUCUUUAAGUAAAAUUCAGGUUUGUCUAUGUUGUUAUUAUUAUUAUUAUUAUUAUUAUUAUUAUUAUUAUUAUUGUAACAUUCUAAACUUUUCUAUAAGGAUUAAAUUUUGAUAUAUUGA